AUUGAACGCUGGCGGCAGGCCUAACACAUGCAAGUCGAGCGGAGCGGCGGACGGGCGAGUAAUGCCUAGGAAUCUGCCUGGCAGUGGGGGAUAACGUCCGGAAACGGGCGCUAAUACCGCAUAUUAUCAGGUGAGUCUAGGUCGCAUUUGCUAGUUGGUGGGGUAAAGGCCUACCAAGGCGACGAUCCGGAACUGGUCUGAGAGGAUGAUCAGGCAUACUGGAACUGAGACACGGUCCAGACUCAUACGGGAGGCAGCAGUGGGGAAUAUUGGACAAUGGGCGAAAGCCUGAUCCAGCCAUGCCGCGUGUGUGAAGAAGGUCUUCGGAUUGUAAAGCACUUUAAGUUGGGAGGCGUUACCAACAGAAUAAGCACCGGCUAACUUCGUGCCAGCAGCCGCGGUAAUUC
rnacentral:rRNA from 1 species